GACAAGGUGGUGGAGUGGUCUAACAUGUUUGGCUUGAAUUCCAUCUGGAAGCCUUGGGGAUGAGAAAACUCGUCCUGGGAUCUCUACAAGAUUUACCAAAAGCCCCUUCGGGUACCCAGGUUCGAAUCCCCUGGCCCUGUCG